AUUGAACGCUGGCGGCAGGCCUAACACAUGCAAGUCGAACGAGUGGCGGACGGGUGAGUAAUGUCUGGGAAACUGCCUGAUGGAGGGGGAUAACUACUGGAAACGGUAGCUAAUACCGCAUACCAUCGGAUGUUCCCAGAUGGGAUUAGCUAGUAGGUGGGGUAAAGGCUCACCUAGGCGACGUGCCCUAUCUGGUCUGAGAGGAUGACCAGCAACACUGGAACUGGGACACGGUCACGACUCCUACGGGAGGCAGCAGUGGGGAAUAUUGCACAAUGGACGCAAGCCUGAUGCAGCCAUGCCUCGUGUAUGAAGAAGGCCUUCGGGUUGUAAAGUACUUUCAGCGGGGAGGCGUUACCCGCAGAAGAAGCGCCGGCUAACUCCGUGCCAGCCGCCGCGGUAAUAC
rnacentral:rRNA from 1 species